AGUGGCGAACGGGCGAGUAAAGUAUCGGAACGUGCCCAGUCGUGGGGGAUAACGUAGCGAAAGUUACGCUAAUACCGCAUACGAUCUAUGGAUGAAAGCGGGGGAUCGCAAGACCUCGCGCGAUUGGAGCGGCCGAUAUCAGAUUAGGUAGUUGGUGGGGUAAAGGCUCACCAAGCCGACGAUCUGUAGCUGGUCUGAGAGGACGACCAGCCACACUGGGACUGAGACACGGCCCAGACUCCUACGGGAGGCAGCAGUGGGGAAUUUUGGACAAUGGGCGCAAGCCUGAUCCAGCCAUGCCGCGUGCAGGAUGAAGGCCUUCGGGUUGUAAACUGCUUUUGUACGGAACGAAAAGGUUUGGCCUAAUAAGCUGAGCUCAUGACGGUACCGUAAGAAUAAGCACCGGCUAACUACGUGCCAGCAGCCGCGGUAAUACGUAGGGUGCGAGCGUUAAUCGGAAUUACUGGGCGUAAAGCGUGCGCAGGCGGUUAUGUAAGACAGAUGUGAAAUCCCCGGGCUCAACCUGGGAACUGCAUUAGUGACUGCAUAGCUGGAGUACGGCAGAGGGGGGAUGGAAUUCCGCGUGUAGCAGUGAAAUGCGUAGAUAUGCGGAGGAACACCGAUGGCGAAGGCAAUCCCCUGGGCCUGUACUGACGCUCAUGCACGAAAGCGUGGG
rnacentral:rRNA from 1 species